CGCAUACAACCUUAUACAUUAGCUCAGUAUGCAGACAUUUGUUGCCAUCACUGGAUCCUAAAGCAGUUCUCUAUGGAGAAAAAAGAAGAUGAAAAAGCAAAUAAGAUAACUUUUAGGAGCGUUCCAGAAUUUAGAGGGUUAUUUAUUGACCAAUGUUUGGCACAAGCUACUGAGCAUGGGUUUUAUGGAACUUCUUUGAAGCAAACUUCGUGGGGAAAUUUGUGCAAAUUCUUUUGUGAGAAGUAUGACUACACUAUCACCCAAAAGAAAUUGAGAAACCACUGGGAUUACUUGCGCACCCAAUAUGUCACUUGGUCUCGUCUCUUAGCAAGAACCGGGCAUGGGUACAACGCGGAGACGAACACUUUUGAUUGGAGCGAAGAACAAUGGUCUGAAUUAGACAAGACAAUCAAAAACGCCAGUCAAUUCAAGAAUAAGGGACUGGAAGAUGCAGAGAAGUUGCAGAAUUUAGUGAGUCAUGAGUUGAAGUUUUAGGUUGUUAGACUAGUAGUGAACAAGUUGUUUGAAAUGUGCACAAGGGCAUUUUCUGUCCAAAAAAAUCCACUCAGCUGAGUCAGAUCUGACUCACAAAACAAACAUAUUUUCUGACUCAGACCUUAGUGAGUCAGAUCCAGAUGAGUCAGGUGAUUUCACUCAGAUCCAGACGACUCAGAUGAGUCAGCUGCAAACAAACACCACCUAGGAUUUUGUUCAACAACUGGAAAAUCAGUCCUGCAGAGUUGAAUUGAAGAUAAGAACUGACAGAAAACGCGUUUUGGUGAGUUGGGUCCCUCUUAAUUAUCGAAUUGAAGAAGAAUAGGGAGAAUUUUGUGUGU